CCUACGGGAGGCAGCAGUGGGGAAUAUUGGUCAAUGGGGGGAACCCUGAUCCAGCGACGCCGCGUGAGUGAAGAAGUAUCUCGGUAUGUUAAGCUCCAUCAGCAGGGAAGAAAAUGACGGUACCUGACUAAGAUGCACCGGCUAACUACGUGCCAGCAGCCGCAGUAAUACGCAGGGGGCAAGCGUUAUCCGGAUUUACUGGGCGUAAAGGGAGCGUAGACGGUGCAGCAAGUCUGAUGUGAAAGGUCGGGGCCCAACCCCGGGACUGUAUUGGAAACUGUUGAACUGGAGUACAGGAGAGGUAGGCGGAAUGCCUGGUGUAGCGGUGAAAUGCGUAGAUAUUAGGAAGAACACCGGUUGCGAAGGCAGCUUACUGGACUAUAACUGACGUUGAGGCUCGAAAGCGUGGGGAGCAAACAGGAUUAGAUACCCUAGUAGUC
rnacentral:rRNA from 1 species